rnacentral:rRNA from 1 species
ACAGAGGUCCCGAGCGUUGUUCGGAUUCAUUGGGCGUAAAGGGUGCGUAGGCGGCGGGGCAAGUCUGAUGUGAAAUCCCGGGGCUCAACCCCGGAACUGCCUUUGAAACUAGGUGACUAGAAUCUUGGAGAGGUCGGUGGAAUUCCGAGUGUAGAGGUGAAAUUCGUAGAUAUUCGGAAGAACACCAGUGGCGAAGGCGACUGACUGGACAAGUAUUGACGCUGAGGUGCGAAAGCGUGGGGAGCAAACAGGA